AAAAAAAUCAUUUUAACACUUAUUCACACAAAAACUGCAAAUAAAAACAGAAACUGCAACAAAAAUACAAUGUAGAUAUCAAUUAUGUUGAAAAAAAAAAGGAAAGAACAAAAAUCAAAUUGAAAUUAAAUUGGUGAGGUUGAAGGCCAAGGAAAGAACAAAAAAUCAAAUUGUAAUUAAAUGAAAACUGUAACGCAGUUUCCAAAAGUCCAAUUUUGAGUUCCCUUGCUCUUG
rnacentral:lncRNA from 1 species